GACGAACGCUGGCGGCGUGCCUAAUACAUGCAAGUUGAGCGCUGAAGGUUGGUACUUGUACCAACUGGAUGAGCAGCGAACGGGUGAGUAACGCGUGGGGAAUCUGCCUUUGAGCGGGGGACAACAUUUGGAAACGAAUGCUAAUACCGCAUAAAAACUUUAAACACAAGUUUUAAGUUUGAAAGAUGCAAUUGCAUCACUCAAAGAUGAUCCCGCGUUGUAUUAGCUAGUUGGUGAGGUAAAGGCUCACCAAGGCGAUGAUACAUAGCCGACCUGAGAGGGUGAUCGGCCACAUUGGGACUGAGACACGGCCCAAACUCCUACGGGAGGCAGCAGUAGGGAAUCUUCAGCAAUGGACGAAAGUCUGACCGAGCAACGCCGCGUGAGUGAAGAAGGUUUUCGGAUCGUAAAACUCUGUUGGUAGAGAAGAACGUUGGUGAGAGUGGAAAGCUCAUCAAGUGACGGUAACUACCCAGAAAGGGACGGCUAACUACGUG
rnacentral:rRNA from 1 species